GCCGGUGUGAUGGAAUUGGCAGACGUGCAGCACUCAAAAUGCUGUGUCCUUUGGGCGUGUCGGUUCGAGUCCGACCACCGGCA
rnacentral:tRNA from 1 species